CCCCCGCCCCAGUACCCCACCCCAGGAUACCCAGUUGCCUUGGAGACUACAAGUUUUCAACCUCGUUGUUGUCGUCGUCGGCAGGAAUGCUGAUAAGGUUUAUAGUGCCCCGGAAGAGGUGAGCGCACCUGGUGAACAGAUCUUGGGUCCUGGUCACUCUACCCAAUUAGAAGGUAGAAGGCUCCUUGAAGAAACCACCCUCAAGGAUCGAUAGAUGGAGAAGUGUCCCCUAUUUUGAGUGAUAACAGAAGGGGCUUGCAGGCCUAGCAUUACUACUGAGAGGAAUGUGGAAUGGAGAGGACCAGGAGGAUCGCAAAGCAUCAUGAGAGGCCCAUACGUGAGAAUGAUCUGUUGGCCACUAAUCACAGGGUUUAUUUGAAUGCCCUGGCUGGCUAAACAAGCUUCCCAAUCUUUAAAACAAACGUGCAUCACUCCCACAUCUGUGGGCUCAGCUGAGAAGAGCAUUCUGUCCUGUCCAGGGAAGGCCAGUCUUGUAUCCAACUGUAUAAGGCCCAGCCCAGCCUCGCCCACCCAGCGCCGCAUUGCCUUGCCUGCAGCCGUGGCAAGAGGGGAAGCCUUCCGAGAUGGGUGUGCAAAUGGGACCCCUGGCAGGGCGUGGAGGCUGCUUUCUCAGACCAAGGGGAACCCAGGCAAUUGCUCAGACAUCUCCUGGCCCUCCAAGCCAGCAGGAGCUCUGAGCUUGUUUCAGUGGGAUUAAGGAGGUGUGGACCUUGAUGACCUGAA